rnacentral:rRNA from 1 species
GAUGAACGCUGGCGGCGUGCCUAAUACAUGCAAGUCGAGCGAACAGACGGGGAGCCUGCUCCUUCGACGUUAGCGGCGGACGGGUGAGUAACACGUAGGUAACCUACCUAUAAGACUGGGAUAACUUCGGGAAACCGGGGCUAAUACUGGAUAAUAUUUCGAACCGCAUGGUUCGAUAGUGAAAGAUGGCUUUGCUAUCACUUAUAGAUGGACCUGCGCCGUAUUAGCUAGUUGGUAAGGUAACGGCUUACCAAGGCAACGAUACGUAGCCGACCUGAGAGGGUGAUAGGCCACACUGGAACUGAGACACGGUCCAGACUCCUACGGGAGGCAGCAGUAGGGAAUCUUCCGCAAUGGGCGAAAGCCUGACGGAGCAACGCCGCGUGAGUGAUGAAGGUCUUCGGAUCGUAAAACUCUGUUAUUAGGGAAGAACAAACGUGUAAGUAACUGUGCACGUCUUGACGGUACCUAAUCAGAAAGCCACGGCUAACUACGUG